ensembl:lncRNA
CUCACAGCUGCCAAACGUGGGGGGAGCGCUUGUCGGCCGUUCUCUUUGGUGAGUGGCUGCUGAUUCAAGGCCAGAUGAAGGCACGGCGACAGGCUGAAGACUGAAUUGUAACCGUGGCGAUGAUUUGGCAUUGGGGAGACAUAAGAGAACUGGCCGCAGAAGGACUAAAGUCCCGUCAGGUCUUACCUUUAAACCCGCCUUGGCACGGCAAUGAGUGAGUGACAACGGCCUCCCGGGGAUAAGAGCAGAGCCGGAGGAAGGACUGUGUACGCACAUGUCCCUGCAUCUGUCUGUGGAGGUGAUGAGUGAGAAUCAAGCCCGAGGGGGAUCACGUCACCACAAAGAUAGCCACCAUCGCCUAGCAACCUCAGCCCUUCAGGCCCACCGCAGGAAGGGCAAAGUGAAAGAUGAUCCUCUUUUCUAGCAGACAAAAACUUGAAAUGUGAUAAAUAUGUUGUGUUCCUUUGAUGUCUUUAAAGGGGAAAAUGUGGUGAUUCUGCUAAUGAUUAUCUCGGAAAAGAAAUCCCUCAAAAAGACAACAAAACAAUAAAUUAAUCCAAGUAAUAGCUAGAGACUGGUAUAGAUUAUUUAUUGUUAAAAAAUAAUUGACAAUACUGGACGGUACCAUGUGCACCGCACUGCUUACGUUAAUACUGGCCAGCACACCAAAACAGCCAUUGAAAAUAACCCACAACAAGUUCCAUUUUUAACCCAGUUUAACCCCAGUGUCCAUAUUUUUUAGGAAAGGUUCAUUCUGAUGUGUUUUUGUAUUGAGCAUCGCUGUAGGAUUUGUUAAAUACCACAAAGCUGUAUGUAAUACAUGAAUUAGAGCAUCAUUAUGUUUUCUAAAAGGAGCGCUUACCAGCUGUCACUCGACUCACAGCCGACUGCGUCCAGCUCAUUUCAAUCGGGCUACUCGACAAAUUAUUGUCUUCCUGCGAGACACCCCCGACGAGGCCCGACAGCGCUGCAGGUGGGUUGGGCCUGAAAUUACUUUGUUUAAACUUGUCAGAUUGGAAUGGAGAUUUUUAAGAAGGAUCUGUCCUCAUUUCCUGUGCUGUGCAAACCCACAGAGAUUUACACCUUAAAUUGCUGCGUGUCGGCUUUCAUUUUAGCAAAGGGGACAAUAACGAAAACCUUGUUCAAAUAAGCUUCUGGUGUUCACAGGUAUUGAUUGUGUACUUAUCUUUUCUCCCCUGGGUUACAUUGAUUUGAAGGAGCUGUUUAAGGUUGAAUGCAGAGAGACAGGCACAUUGAGAACGAGACUAAACCACUUUAAUGGUGGAGGAUAUUCAAAUUGAUGUUUUCACCAUUGAAUACCAAAUGCAACCCAGUAUUUGUUGUUUUCAUGUAAUAUUUAUUUUUAUUGUUGUAUUGUAUUCUAUCCACGUGUCAGUGCACUCUGCCCUUUUUCAUUUUAUAGUUACUGUUUGUGCGUCUUAUUCAUUGUACCUUUAUUUUACAAUAUAUAAUAUAUAACUAGCUUUAAAGGUUACUUAUCUAUGUGUCUGCUGCAAAGCAAUUUUCCUGCCUGGGAUUAAAAUACCAAACUGACAUUUUGACACCACAGUGCUUCCACUUCAACUGACAUUUUAACGGCACUCACCGCCUUCUUUUCUAUUGAGAUUUCAUUCUUCAAGUCUUCAGCUCCUCUAACUUUCUAUGUUGAUACGUGAUUUAGCACGUAAAGUUUAGCUGACACUUUAUUGCCAUUCACCAUUUUAUACACUGACUUCAGGCAGCGCUUACUGACAGCUUAUCUGACAAUUCAGCCCAUUUUUAUCUUUAAACCAUUUACGCUAUUGAUGAUCGACAUGUAAAGGUGCCUUGGUUAUUAAAGGGCCCAAAAAGUCCAUAUUAAAUUAGUUGAAUUUACUUUUUCAUUUACUUCAUUGCAUUUGUGGCAAUCAGGUCCGUCAUUAACACUGAUAAAUAACAUAUAUUACAAACUCUAGUUGAUAACAAAGCCAAUAAAGUAAAAGUUUUAUCCACAAUAGAUGUUUUACUGGUCAUUUUCUGGCCUGCUCCAUUAAAAGACCGACUUACCAACGAAGAAUAGAUGAACAUUUUAAAUAACACUGAAAUUGUGAUGCUGCAUUCAUUCUUGUACUGUUCUUUCAUGAGAUGCUGUUUGAAUAAAUGUCAUGCAUGUAUUAAUGAUUGUACAUUUACCUUUACUAUAAAGUGUUACCAAGGCAACUCAGUGUUUUGCCAUUUUCACAGGUGUCAAGAUUGGUAUCAGUCAAGAGAAUGUAAAGCUUUAAAACUUUCCUGGAGCGUUAUGCCGGCUUCAAUAGUCUUUCCCCCCAAUUUGUUCAGAGGACAAAGGGCAAUGAUGCACAUUCCUGGGAGCAGCAGCGGAGAAGCAUUCCAACCACUAUUUGUAAUUGUUCACAGCUGUAGGCAGCCUGCUUUCUAUUUGUCACAUUCACGGGUCAAGCGUUACCAUAUUUUUCACAAUCACUCAAAAAAAUCGAAGUAAAGCCCUGAAAGGGAAAGGUUGUAUGUGCAGUUACUGCAGUAGGGGAAGCAGUGCAGCUUUUAGCCUCCCUUCUCCUUCACUUUACGUGCUCAGUUUUAUGUGCUUUGUUAUUGUCAGGAUGUACCCGCCAUUUAUUUGUCUAAGCCAAGGGAUGUAAAUAAUAAUACAUUAUUUAGGAUUUCCCUGACACUUAACAGCACGAGGAGAAAAUUGCGUCUCACUCAAACAUCAGCAUUCAGUUUCGGAGCAUCUGGGAUUAGAAUAAAAUCUCUGAGAGUUACUACUAACUUGACUGCUUGCAAUAAAUAUAUAUAUUUAAUACGUUAACUAAAAGCCUCUAUUCGAGGAAAAGUGUUUUCCAGUAACUCUCUCCAGAACCACAUGAUUAAAAAUAUGAUUGUGUAUGUCUGUUUGUGGUUGCACAGAUCAGAUCAGUUCUAUGUACACUAUGUGCUUGUUCUGUGAGUUGUCCACUUGAGAAUAGAGCGAAAAAACUGCCAUCUUCAUUUGUUUCUAAUGACAAUCUGCGGAGCAUCCAAAGAAGACACCUUAAUGUCGUUUUUUUUCCAGUCAACAGUUUUCCAAAAGACAAUUUGUUUUGGAGAGCUAAAUUAUCUUUUCAAUGUCCAUUGUUUUAAAAAGCAACAACAAACACGAG